rnacentral:tRNA from 1 species
CGCGGGAUGGAGCAGCUCGGUAGCUCGUCGGGCUCAUAACCAGGUCGUAGGUUCAAAUCCUGCUCCCGCAA